AUAUUUAUCGUUGUUCUUUCAAUGCGUCUUCGCCUCAACGUUGAACAAGGAGAUAACUUGUGAUUUACAUCCUGUUGAUGCGUGAUCGCUGAGUUUAAAAUACACUCUCGACGCGUCGGACCGAUAUGUUUAUGAAAGUCGUAAAAUCGAGAACAACGCGAGUGGCUGGAUUAUUGUCGAAAUCGUAAGGUUAUUUAUCACCACUGGUGAUAAAUCUACACGUCGAAAUCGUUCAGCAUUCGUUAAAUUCGAAACAAGAACCUCUCCGCAAAAAUGCAUACCAUCUUUGCGCUUUUCGUUAUAACGAGCGGCUUCAUCACGGACAUGUGUGCCAACUAUUUAAGGGACAGAUUACCAAAUCUACAUACAUGUCCGAAAUCGCGACUCCAAGCAUGCUUACCGCGAAGCUUGGAUUCGAUGAGGCCUUACUUAGCGCAGAGUGUUCCGUAACUAAGUAUAGAUUCUUUCGAAAUUCCGUAAUUAAGUAUACCUUCUUUCGAGCCAUAUUAUACGCAAUUUUAUAAGAUGACCUUCGAAAACCAGUAUAUCCCUAUGAUAAAGUUUAGUGAUACAUAUAUCAACGGUAUAUCAAACUUCACGAUAACUAGAGUCAGAGUUGUCGAGGAUCAUUAUAUUGAGUUUCUGGCGCACUUUCCAUUCGUCAGUGUGUCCACAAGUUCAAUGCAUACGUCUCAUAUGCGUCUCCUACGCUUAUUAAAAGUAGCAGAUACAGAUUAAAUAGCAAUUUUAGGAACGUCGUUGCUGAAAUUAUUAUACGAGGUAGGCAUUUUGAGAACGAAGAACAAUAUUUUUAGGUGAACAACGUCACCGUGGCAAUCUUAAAGUUUGAAGGGAUGAAGACUAAUAAACAACAAAGAGGUACACUCGAAUACCUAAUGCAGUUGGCAAAUGAUUAUCUUGCACUUGAGUGGGAUCCAUUGACUUACGAAAUAAUUUAUAACAUCAAAAACAUUGCAGCUGAGUUUAUCCAGACCAUUUGGAAUAGAAUUUACACGAAUUUCCCAACUGUUAUGUUAACGUCUCGUUAAAACGCAUCGUCUUGAUUUUAUUGUCAUGAUGAAGAGAUUAAUCAUUUUAUAAUGAGUGUAACUUGCUAGCACAAUUAGUUGUGCAUUACUCAUUUAUUAUUUUGAUACGGAGAUUCGUAUAUGCUGCUUUAGAAAAUGGCUUUUUCUUCCAAUGGGGUUCGGUGCGCAUCAAAUGCGAACGAAUGCUCGCGGGUUUGCGGUUGUGACAGAACUCGCAUGAUAGUACACUAUG